rnacentral:rRNA from 1 species
AGCGGCGAACGGGUGAGUAACGCGUAGGAAUCUACCUAGUAGAAGGGGAUAGCCCGAGGAAACUCGGAUUAAUACCGUAUACGUCCUUAGGGAGUAAGAGGGCUUAGCUUUGAUGCUCUCGCUAUUAGAUGAGCCUGCGUAAGAUUAGCUUGUUGGUGAGGUAAAGGCUCACCAAGGCGACGAUCUUUAGCUGGUCUGAGAGGACGAUCAGCCACAUUGGGACUGAGACACGGCCCAGACUCCUACGGGAGGCAGCAGUGGGGAAUAUUGGACAAUGGGCGCAAGCCUGAUCCAGCCAUACCGCGUGUGUGAAGAAGGCCUUCGGGUUGUAAAGCACUUUAAGUAAGGAAGAAAAGAGUAUUGUUAAUACCAUUACUCCGUGACAUUACUUACAGAAUAAGGACCGGCUAAUUCCGUGCCAGCAGCCGCGGUAAUACGGAAGGUCCAAGCGUUAAUCGGAAUUACUGGGCGUAAAGCGCGCGUAGGUGGUUUAUUAAGUUGGGUGUGAAAGCCCCGGGCUCAACCUGGGAACUGCAUCCAAAACUGAUUCACUAGAGUACGAAAGAGGAAAGUAGAAUUCACAGUGUAGCGGUGGAAUGCGUAGAUAUUGUGAAGAAUACCGAUGGCGAAGGCAGCUUUCUGGUUCUGUACUGACACUGAGGUGCGAAAGCGUGGGUAGCGAACAGGAUUAGAUACCCUGGUAGUCCACGCCGUAAACGAUGACAACUAGCUGUUGGGAAGCUAUGCUUUUCAGUGGCGCAGCUAACGUCUUAAGUUGUCCGCCUGGGGAGUAC